rnacentral:rRNA from 1 species
GACAGAGGGUGCAAACGUUGCUCGGAAUUACUGGGCGUAAAGCGCGUGUAGGUGGAUUGGUGUGUCAGAUGUGAAAUCCCUGGGCUCAACCCAGGAACUGCACCUGAAACUACCAGUCUUGAGUGGUGGAGAGGGAAGUGGAAUUCCUGGCGUAGAGGUGAAAUUCGUAGAUAUCAGGAGGAACACCAGUGGCGAAGGCGGCUUCCUGGACACCAACUGACGCUGAGACGCGAAAGCGUGGGGAGCAAACAGG